ACACUGCUGGUGGGAAUGUAAACCAGUACAACCACUCUGGAAAGUAGUCUGGAGGUUCCUCCAAAAACUAAACACAGACAUAACUCUACAACCCAGCCAUAUCACUCCUAAGCAUCUACCCCAAGCAACAGGAACCAGGAAACAACAAGGACUCCUGCACAUCCAUGUUCACUGCUGCACUGUUCACAACAGCCAAGAUAUGGAAUCAACCCAAGUGCCCCACUACAGAUGAAUGGAUCCAAACAAUCCAGGUGGACCCAGAAAAU